GCAGGGAAGUGGCCUCCCCUUUGCCUGUUUGGUAGAAGCAGCCUCCAAGGCAAUGGGAAGCUGUCUUGCUCCUUCUGACCAUCUCUGGAAAAAGUGGGCUCUAACAGAGGUCCUUAACUCUGCUGUAGAUUAGAAUCUGGUCACGUUGGUCUUCUUCAGGAAGGCAGAACUGACCAGGUCCAAGCAAGAGCUUGCUGAAACUUAGCUUCGUACCAACCAGUCUGUGGUUCCCUUUUGACAAUGCCGUCCCUCUGACCAAAGGAAACUCAUCAAGUCAAGUCAUAAAGACCUGCCACAGCAAGGUGAAAACUUGGCCCAAAGAUUAAGUGCUUUGCUGGCCUUCAGAAAAUGUGAAGCAGAGACAAAUGAUGAACUCAAGUCACCUGGUGUCCUGUUAGAUCUUCUCUUACCCAAGCUGCCAGCCUGCUUUGUUGGAAACUCAGCAAGAAACACGGGUAAUGAACCUGCCCAAGUGUAUGGAAGAACGGCUCUGCUGCUAAACAGCAAGUCUGACCAAAGGAGCCUGGGUCGGUCACAGGAUGCCCUUCAUGCAGCUGUCUGGAGACAAGAGUUUUAUGCUCACAGUUCAUCUUGGGAUUUCCACUUUACAUAUGUCGGGAGUGCAAUUCCGUUGGCUCCCAGGAGAAUCUGUUCAGCAGAACAUCCAGACGUGUUAAUUAUUAUUCUUUCUGCUCAUUUAAUGGCUGAACAGUCUCUUGCCAUCCUCUUGCGGAACAAGACCACCCAUAAAACAGUUUGAAUGCUAUGUGCAAUGCAUCACUCCCAUCUGACAGCUGUGCUGUGUGCAUGGCUGCAUGCAGGAGCUGAAUUCCUGAGGUGGACCUGUCUUGAGUAGGAGUUGCUGCCCUGUCUUUCAAACCACCUUCCCAUCUGACUGCUUUUUUUAAACUCUCGUGAAAGUUGUUUGCAAAGUGCUCUCAUUGCAAUUUUCAAGCAAGAGAAGGGAAACGGUGCAGUAUGACUGAAAGCUUUACACAAUAUUAUUCCAACUUCAAUCCUUUUUCUUUUUUUCUAAUGGGUGGCAGUAUGAGAAUAAAUCAGUUUAAGUUGACUAGUCCUUGGGCUGGAGGGUCAUGUCAGAAUAUCAAGUGAUGGCUAUACAGUGACAUCUCAGACAAUUUAUAUGUCAAGUCUUGUAUAUCAGUCUAAAGGAUUCUUUGUUAACACAGCUUGGAGUAGUAUAAAUUCAGAUCCUAGGCAGAAAACCUCCUUGGAAGCCAACGGGGAUGGGCCAUGACCUUGAAAAGACCAGGGACGGGAGGGACUGUGUAUCUAUGGCCUUCCAUGUGCUGAAGAACAGAGGCAAAGCCACCUGUCAGCUGACAGUGUGUGUCCAUUACAAUGGUUCUAGAGUGCCUUCAAGGACAAACAAUCUUCAAGGGCAUGCCAGAAGCAGAGGUUGCAAUGAAGUGAGCUUCUGUUGUACGCCCUGGAGUCAAAGAACAUUUAUUUCAUGAAAAUCCCACAGCUAAUGGUGACCUUUCAUAUCCUCUACUUUUCAGAGGCAUAUGGUUGGCUCUGGCACUGUGUAAGCCGACCCUUUGUCUUAAUUUUGGCUUUCCUUUACCUUCCCAUUUUUGUCUUGCCUUGGUUUGUCACAUAACAUAUUUUCUUCCUCCUUACUGCCUGCCAGGAUAGGGCAUGGGCCAGAAAUGCAGAGAGGAAGAUACCAUGUGCAUAACCUGCUUUCACAGGCCAGGUACAGCUGUGCAUUAUGAACCUGUGGUCCCAAAGCUCUUUCCUUAGCCUGGAAGCAGGCAGGAAGCCUUCUGCCAUUGAUGACUCUUGACUAAGAAAGCAGUUUGUGACUUGACCUACAGUAAAGUGUUAAGUGAUGGGGUCUUGCUGCUGUCUAGCCAUCUGUCCAGCCUUUGAUGGCAAAGAGGAACUGCUCCCUGUGCUAAGUUGUGUUUGGUCAUCCUAUGGUUUGGGCAGAUCUGCUGCCCUUUUCUGGCUUGCACAUCAAGACUAGCUACCUCAGGCAACCACCCAGUGCAUCUGCCACAGCUUUCAUUGGCAUGGACAGAGUCAUCUGUUCUGUAUGAAUGGGGCUGAACCAGCAUCUGGCAUAUCUUUACAUCACUGGGAUCUGUUGUAAGGACUGAGGGACCAAGCACUUUGACAGCAUGACUGUGGGAUGGGAUUCAGUCACUGUAAGCUAUGGCUCUGCCCUGAUGUGACUUUUGAGCCAAACUGAAUCAGCCUUCUUCACCACAGUGUCUGACAGAGUCAGUCAUAAUAUCUGUCUCAGAUGCAGAUUUUGGCUCCCUGUGGCUUCAGUUUCAGUGGUGCAUGCUUUCUUGGUGGAGAUGUUUGCUCUGGCCAACACGUAGCAAAGGAGGGCUGACUGAAUGGAGGUCGUUAGAUGGAGCAAGUGGCAGCUCUCCAUCACUUUGUGCUUUGCCCUUCCCUAUCAGUGAAAUUAAACCCAGAGCUUGUGCUCCUGUGCUGGCUGGUAAACAAGCCAUGUAAACCUGUAUUGUCCCUCCCUGCCUGUGUUGGCAGUGCACUUUCCUCCAGCCUUAGAAGAUCUGAAUGUAAUGUUCUUAGAGGCAUAGAGAUGUUCCCAUCUCACCAGUGUGUCUGAGAUUUAGAAAAUCUUUGUUUUGAAGCAAAACAAGCUUUCUACAUUCUGAAAUAUUAAAAGACAUGGCUUUAGUCAGUCACAUUGUUUUUUGAAAUGU